rnacentral:rRNA from 1 species
UACGAACCGUACAAACGUUAUUCGGAAUCACUGGGCGUAAAGGGUGCGUAGGCGGCGCGGUAAGUCGGGUGUGAAAUCUCGGAGCUUAACUCCGAAACUGCAUUCGAUACUGCCGUGCUUGAGGACUGGAGAGGAGACUGGAAUUUACGGUGUAGCGGUGAAAUGCGUAGAUAUCGUAAGGAAGACCAGUGGCGAAGGCGGGUCUCUGGACAGUUCCUGACGCUGAGGCACGAAGGCCAGGGGAGCAAACGGG